ACUCAAAGGAAUAGACGGGGGCCCGCACAAGCGGUGGAGCAUGUGGUUCAAUUCGAUGCAACGCGAAGAACCUUACCAGGGUUUGAACUGCAACAGAAAGACUCAGAGAUGAGUUUCUCUAGCAAUAGACUGUUACAGAGGUGCUGCAUGGCUGUCGUCAGCUCGUGUCGUGAGAUGUUGGGUUAAGUCCCGCAACGAGCGCAACCCUUGCUCUUAGUUGCUCGAGAGAGCUCUCUAAGAGGACUGCUGGUGAUAAACCGGAGGAAGGCGGGGAUGACGUCAAGUCAUCAUGGCCUUUAUGCCCUGGGCUACACACGUGCUACAAUGGCUGGUACAAAGGGUUGCCAAAUCGCAAGGUGGAGCCAAUCCCAUCAAAGCCGGCCUCAGUUCGGAUUGCAGUCUGCAACUCGACUGCAUGAAGUUGGAAUCGCUAGUAAUCGCGGAUCAGCAUGCCGCGGUGAAUACGUUUCCGGGCCUUGUACACACCGCCCGU
rnacentral:rRNA from 1 species